rnacentral:sRNA from 1 species
GCUGGGUGAAGUGGUGCACGCCUGUAAUCCCUGCAGCUCAGGAGGCUGAGGCAGGAGGAUCUCGAGUUCAAAGCCAGCUUCAGCAAAAGAGAGGCGCUAAGAUACUCAGUGAGACCCUGUCUCUA